rnacentral:lncRNA from 1 species
UCGGCGCCUCCUCCCUCGUCAUCCACACCUCGCACUGCAUUCAUUUUGCCGUACCGAUCAGUAUUGGUAUUCUCAAACUGAACCAUACAGGAUCCGUUUAAAUUUUGAAUUCGGUUUCUAUAGGCUCCCUUCUCGAACCCAGCCAUACUGUGCCCAAGCUUAUGUUUUUUCAUUGAACCUGAUUAUUUUCAUUUAAAAAUAAUCACGUUAAUGUCUUCCACAAUAAUUUAUGUGAAUGUGAUUUUUAUACAGAGAAAUAGACAAUUUGAGUUUAAUUUUUAUAACACUAUUAUUACAGUGGUGUGAGUUUUACAUAUUAAUUGUGGGGUUGAUUUAUUUAUUUAAUUUUCUAAUUUAUGAUUGAUUGUUCUCUUUUCUCCCUCUCAAAAAUUGAAAAUUUAGUACAUAGAAAUCAACAAACAUUUUUCGGACUCACUAUAAAAGUAUGAUUCCUAUAUGGAAAAUUUUAUUUAAACUCAUUUAACCUUUUUCUACACCCAACUUAAAUUUUAAAUGUUAAUUGUCUAUUUUACCCUAUUGCAUAAUUACUAUAUAGUUCCAUUUGAUAUAUGUUAAUGGUGGGGAUCGGGGAUCAGUGACCUGGAUUAUGCUUUGGAGUACCAUUUAACCUCUUUCUACACCCCAACUUGCCUUAAAACACAACGUUUUCUUCUCUUUAAUUUUAGUUUUAAUUUAAGGUUUUGUUUUUGUUCGUUUGUAAAAUCAUCACAACAAACUCUUCACAUCUUUGAUUGAUUUAUUAAUUAAGAUCGAGUCUAGUUCAUUGUUUGAGUUUAUAUUUUAUAUUUUUGGGUUUUUGUCUUUAUUAUAAUUAGAUUUGGUUUAGUUUAUCAAAUUGGAGAUUCAAUUAUAAUCCUCGUGGGAACGAUACUUGGACUUGCAAAACGCUAUAUUACGACUAUCUUGUGCACUUGGAAGUUUACUACACCCAACUUAAAUUUUAAAUGUUAAUUGUCUAUUUUACCCUAUUGCAUAAUUACUAUAUAGUUCCAUUUGAUAUAUGUUAAUGGCGGGGAUCGAGGAUCAGUGAUCUGGAUUAUGCUUUGGAGUUUGGAGGGGUACAGUUGAACAGACAAGAAAUGUAAUUGUUUCUGGUGAGAGAAGUUGCAAUCAGAAACAAUUUGGAAAACAAACACGAAACGUUAAAAAGGGGUUGGAACUUUCAGUUCAAAUCUAACUUCUUGUCCCACAAUCCCUUUUUCUAGUUCCCUUUUUCAGACUUUUGGUGUGGAUUACACACUUAGAUUUCUAUGUUGAAAUCCUCCCACAAGUUACAAUAACAUUUUAAUUUCAUCUUGGAGCCAAGGUUGCCGAGGGUUUAUGGAAUUGGGUGUAAAGAAAAAUCUACAUGUGGAAUUGGGUUUGUGGGGGGGUAUAAUAGGUAAUAAAUUUGGGUUUAAGGAGAUAUUAAUAGUUUAGUUAAAAAUCAAAUGGGUGCAAAGAGUAAGUUGAGGGUAGAAAUAGGUUACAUGGGCUAACUCGAGACCAAGGCAGUCACUUUCGAUCUGUUUUUUGGCCAAACCACGGCGAGUUAGCCGUCAAGAAAGGUACCAUUAUCUUCCUCUCAUCGAGAAGUAUGAUUUUUUUUUAAUUACUCUAUUUCGUUGAGUAUUGAAGAAGUUAUGUAUGUUUAAAGUUUACACAGUUUCCGGUGAGUUUUCCAGUUUUCCCACGGAUCAGUCACCUUUCAGGAUAUUUUUCGGCCAUCUCCGGCAACCAUUGAGCUUCCAAAUGGAUACAAACUUGUUCUACACUUUCCUAUCUUCAUUUUGAUAUAUUAUGGAUUGAAUUUGGUUAAGAAAUUAUUGAGUUACGAAACUUUGAAAAUUGUCUAAACUUCCGGCCAAGAGCUCUAGGACACUUAACGGAGUUUUUAAUGGAAUGACCAAAAUAAUGAAUGGUGGACAGUUUCAGGGACCAUUUCUAUUAAUUUUCAAUCUCAGGGACCAAAGUGAUGUGUUAUGCAAAUCUUAUGGAUCAUUUUGGCUAAAAAGCCUAAAUAUGAAAUGCUCAAUGAAGACGGGUGAUGAAUUUUGUGGCAAAUGGUAUGGCUAACCUUUAGCCUUCCAAUAAGAUUACUUUUUCUUUUUCAACUAAUUCAAAUGUUAGAAAUGGAAUUGUAAUUUUGGCCGUGUUUGGACUUGAAAUAUUGAAUUUGGGCUAAUGGUGGAUAAUUCACAAUAGAGAUUAAUUCUCGGACUAGUGUUAUCUCUUUAGGCUAGAUGGUACUCAGAUAUUCAGCCCACGAUGAACUUGGCCGAGUCCUAACAAGAGUGUGACUCAUAAAAAGAUCAAGCGAAGAGGUGAUUCGGCCUAGUCGUAGUUGAAGUGAAAUUGUACAAGAUUAGAGUGAGUUUUGAUAAGGUUCCAAUUAUUGUAAGAACCAAAACUCGUUGCUGAUAAGAUAAAGAAAGUAUUUAAAGCAUUAAAGAACUAGGUUCAGAUUUCUAGUUCUAAUCGAAGUGGCCGAAACUGCGUGCAAAUUGGUUUUGGCUAGUGAAAUAUUACAUUGAGAAUAACCAGAGAGAUGUCGAGGAAGAAUAGGUUUAAUAGAACUCUACUUCGACAUACGUGGCCAUCAGGAAACUCAACCCUAUAAAUAAAAGUGAGUUUGUAACGUCAAAAGGAUCUUCAACUCAACACACAAACGUCUUGCGCAAAUCUCGCUCUACGUGAACCCCUUUCAUACUAUGAGAAACCGUUAACUCUCCUAACUUUGUCAUCGCACCUUCAGUUUGGAUUAAUAGCACUAGAGCCAUAGAAUUAGGCGACCGAGGAGUAUCUUCAGUUUGGAGUAACAACAUUACUUCAAAUUAGGCUUGUUACCUAUCCAAGUCUCUGUCAGCCAGAAGUCUUUGGUUUUCUUGAUGAAAGAGGUCAUCUCAUCAGCUUCGCAACGAAGUGAGAUGUUAUCAAGUUACUUAGUAUUCGGCACAUUGAAAGACGAACCUUUCCAUUAUUGGUUAUUCCCAUGUGCAUUUCAAAGUUCGGCAUUCUAAUGGCCGAUCCACAUUUACAGUCAAAACACAAUUCAAAGUUUGAUACCAAUUCGGCGCACCUAUAUUUUCACAAACAUAGUUGAAACGACCAAACCUGGUGCAGAUCUUGAACUUCACAGUGACUAGCAACCUUGUCUUCAGGUUUUAGAACCCAAUGUCGAGACGUGUUUCUUCCUUGGUUGUGAUCACUCGAAUACAGAAGUCAAAAGUGCAUUUGACACCACCACCACCACCACCAUAUUUAUGUUACUCGCCGACCAAGCUUAAUGGUGAGUUGGUACGCCCGCAUUCAAUAAAAGAACGUAGUUAGCUCUUAGAUACUCGACAUCACGCCCGAAAGCUUUGUACUUUUUAGGCUCAAAAUGUCCAUAAUUUAAAUUUUCAACAUUCUAAUUUAUUCUCAAUGUUCUGUUAUGAGUCAUUAUGGAUUUACUAGUUACUAGCCUUCAUGCACAUGCUCACGUGCGUAUAAAAGAUAUUUUUUAAAUUACGGUGUGUUACGCGCGACUUACACAUUUUAAAUGUAUUUAUAUGUGUAAAUUGCUUCAAUAUUUUUUUUAUGACAAAAAGAAAGUAAAAUAUUUUGACUAAAUGAAUAAUAUUAGACCAUGCUAGAAGAAACCCCUCAUAAACCAAUCUAAGCAGUUGAAUCCACAUAAUAAAAUCAGUCUUUCAAUUUUCAGCUACAUUAUAUUGAAUUGGCUUUUUAGCAAAAUGGUCCCUGAGACUUUCAUAACACAUAACUUUGGUCCCUGAGAUUUAAAAUCAAUAAAAGUGGUCUAUGAGAUUGUCCACCAUCCAUUAUUUUGGUCAUUCCAUUAAAAAAACUCUGUUAAGUGGUCCAUGAGCUUUUUAAUGGAAUGACCAAAAUGAUGGAUGAUGGACAAUCUCAGGGACCGAAGUUAUGUGUUAUGCAAAUCUCAGGGACCAAAAUUAUGUGUUAUGCAAAUCUGAGGGACAAAAGUUAUGUGUUAUACCCUCAACUUAACGAGUUUUUUAAUGAAAGGACCAAAAUAAUAGAUGGUGGACAAUCUCAGGGACCACUUCUAUUGAUUUUAAAUCUCAGGGACCAAAGUUAUGUGUUAUGCAAAUCUCAGAAACCAUUUUGACUAAAAAGCCUAUUGAAUUUACAUUAAAAAUAGAGAAAAUAAUAUUUAAUAAAUAACUGAUUGAAUCACAUUAUUGCUAACCCACCAUUCCUCUUAGUGUAGAUAACAUCGUUUGUUCAACAAAAACAAAAAAAAUGAUCAUUUGAUAACUAAUUGAAUCACAUUAUUAUGUGUGUGCGAAAGACCUUUUUUUAUAACCGAUACUAUGCGCCUAUUAAGUGAUUGACAAUAGAGAAAAUAAUAUUUAAUAAACAAUUGAUUGAAUCACAUUAUUGUCCUCAUGCAAAAUGGCAUUUUUUUAUCACCGGCGGUACGCGUCUAGGGCUGGUUCGGUAUGGGAUACCGAACCAAAAAUGGCAUAUCAAAUCCCGAACCGAAAAUUUUCGGGACGUAAAUCUCAUGACUGAUCUCGAACCGAAAUUUCGGGAUUCCCAAAUUUCGGGAUUCCCGAAAUAUUUUCGGUAUUUCGGAAUUUCCCGAAACCGAACAUCAUCAGAAUCCAAAUCGUCUUAGAUUAAUAUUGAAAUCAUCCGAACCUGCAUUAAAAAUCCAAAUUGAAAUCAGAGACAUAGUGAUAGUGAAUCAGUGAAAGAUUUAUGGUCGAGAAAGAUGCAGAGUGAAGAGAGGGACCUCCUCCUGACUCGAGCCCCCAAUUCGAAACCCUAAGCCCCAAUUCAAAACCCUAACCUCAAUUCGAAAUCCCACACACACAGAGAAUCACUGGAGAGAACCGGAGGUGGGGAUGAAGCCAUGAGGUGUGGUGGUGGCCGGAGUGGAGAUAGUUCGUCGGAGUCAAAUUGCUAGACGAUGGGUGGUUGCUAAGCUUCAAAUCCGAGAAAGAGAGGGAGAGUCUGAGACUGAGUGAAGGCAGAUGAGAGGCGAAAUGAAAUGAGAGAGAGUGAGUAUGGAUGUUUGGCUUAGUUUUGGAUUGGGUGGAAGGAAAGGUUAGGUGGUUUCUGGGUUGUAGAGAGAGAGAGAGAGAGAGAGAGAGAGAAUACCAGAGAGAUGAGACAGAAAAAAUGAGAGGGAUAAAGGAUUAGGUAGGUUAUGAGUUGUAGAGAGAGACGAGACAGAAAAUAAGAGAGAGAUGAAGGGUUAGGUUAUGGGUUGUAGAGAGAGGGAGUCUGGGAGAUAAUCAAGAAGACAGAUGACU